AUUGAACGCUGGCGGCAUGCUUUACACAUGCAAGUCGAACGGCAGCGCGGGCUUCGGCCUGGCGGCGAGUGGCGAACGGGUGAGUAAUGCAUCGGAACGUGCCCAGUAGUGGGGGAUAGCCCGGCGAAAGCCGGAUUAAUACCGCAUACGACCUGAGGGUGAAAGCGGGGGACCGAAAGGCCUCGCGCUAUUGGAGCAGCCGAUGUCGGAUUAGCUAGUUGGUGGGGUAAAGGCUUACCAAGGCGACGAUCCGUAGCUGGUCUGAGAGGACGACCAGCCACACUGGGACUGAGGAACGGCCAAGACUCCUACGGGAGGCAGCAGUGGGGAAUUUUGGACGAUGGGGGCAACCCUGAUCCAGCCAUGCCGCGUGGGGGAAGAAGGCCUUCGGGUUGUAAACCGCUUUUGUUCGGGAAGAAAUCCUCUGGGCUAAUACCCCGUGGGGAUGACGGUACCGGAAGAAUAAGCACCGGCUAACUACGUG
rnacentral:rRNA from 1 species